GGUUCCUGUCAACAUGAUAUGGGCCAACUGAUUGAGGAGAUGGAAUCCACAGUUGCUAGAGCGGCCAAACUGUUAGGAUUAGAAGCCGUACUUGCUCGGGAGGAUAUGGCUGCAUAACCUCUGAUGACAGCAAUAAAGAGCAUUAAAAAUACUCUGACAUUUU